rnacentral:lncRNA from 1 species
AAUUUUGCCUGGACCCCACUCGGGUGGCCACAGGCGUGGAUUCGCAGUUGCGCUAUCUGCAUUGGAGCCCAUCUGCUGCUUUUCCUUGGACAAUGGCUGCCCGUUUAGGGUUGUGACCCAGGAGUCGCUGUGGUUAUCAACUGCGAGAGCUCAAACGGACACAUGAGAAGCAGCUUUGUUUAGCGUCCUUGACAUAACUAACCACAUAUUAACAACAGAGCCUUGUGGUAUAGAGGCUCCUGUUUGUUCAGAAUCUUAAUAGGUGGGCUUUGUGCACAUGGAUUUCUAAUACUGCUUACCCUGUAUUUUAAGUCAAAGAGGGUCUUUGUGUGAAGGAUUCUCCACCUCCUUUUCCCUUUCUACGAAGGAGGCACAAAGCUGAUCAUUCAGUGGAGUCCAUUCUCACCAUGAGAAGAACAUUCUACUGUCAGCAGGCAGAGUGAGGAUGGAGACAUCACUGAUUCACUUGGCUAGUUCCAUGUGGGCAUUCCAUGUCCAUGGAUGAAUGGAUAAGUAACUGAUCCACAAGAGGAGGGCUCACGGGCAGAAGAGAUUUGCCUUGCCUCAGAUGACACUUUGGACUGUGGACUUUUGAGUUAAUGCUGAUAUGAGUUAAGACUUUGGGGGACUUAGGAAG